GUGCACGAAAAUCGCGUCUUCGCCUUCGCACGCGAAACUCUCAACAUCUCGACGGAAUGCGACGUGAAUAAGGAGGCAAAAAGGCAAAAACGCAACACAGGCAGUAAUACCGCGAAAAGAAAAAGUUUCAGCACUCCUACUCAUGCAUGCACUGCACUGCACGAUGGGAAAUCUCAUUUUCAAUGGUUUCGAAUUUAUGGGAAAAGGGAACGAAUUAAUCGCAAGAACUGGGAUGCAAUUCAUCGCGGUCGCAUUUAUCUAAUGCACGCACUUAAGUGUAAGUGGCAAGUAUUCGUAUCAAAUAAUGAUCAUAGAAGAGGAUUCAUGUGAGAAACACAACAACAAUAAUAAGAACAGGAAGAAAUAUAAAGUGAUGUAAAAUAAAAUAAAACCGAGGAAUAAAGUCUCAA